rnacentral:rRNA from 1 species
UACGUAGGCAGCGAGCGUUGUUCGGAGUUACUGGGCGUAAAGGGUGUGUAGGCGGUUGUUUAAGUUUGGGGUGAAAUCUCCCGGCUCAACUGGGAGGGUGCGCCGAAUACUGAGCGACUAGAGUGCGGGAGAGGAAAGUGGAAUUCCUGGUGUAGCGGUGAAAUGCGUAGAUAUCAGGAGGAACACCAGCAGCGAAGGCGGCGCUCUGGGCUGGAACUGACGCUGAGGAGCGAAAGCGUGGGUAGCAAACAGG